AAUGAUUCUGUGAUUCUGUGACUUAACAUGCAAAGGGAACAGCAGGUAGGACAGUGGGGCAGAAAAUGAGGCAAGGAAAUGAUGUCAGGUGCUGUAGAAAGAGACCCUGCUGUGGCUUUUUCUAAAGCUAGUAAAAAAGAAUUUUAAGGAGUAAUCGGAGAGAUGCCAGGAGCUUUGCAGGGUUUUGCUCUAGAGCAUCAUCCAGAUGAGGGUGGCAGCUGGGAAGAAAGUGGAAGAGCACUUGCUGGGCAGUGGGGCAAGGAUGGCUUUGGUGGGCAUGGGGUCCAGGAAAAGCCUUGAAAACAGACAAGCAAGCUAUGUCAAAAACCCGUGCUUGGAAGAGAACAAUGAAGCAGGAGAGAGAUGCAAGAAGAAUAGAGCAAGGACAAGUGGUGGGCAGGGGAAACCACCAGAACAGCCAACUCCAGGAAGCUGUUUGUGGGAAAACCACCUGCGGGAGGCCUAGGAAAACACUGGUGGCCAAGGUGUGGAGCUCUUGAGCAAGAGUUGUAGCUGUGAGGAUGCCCUGCAAACUCCAGGUCACAGAUCCUCUGCAGGAGAGUGUGGAGGGAAGUUUGACAGGAUAAUGGAUCAGCAGCACACGUGGUGGAAUGGAGUUCGUGUCUCUGAAUGAAGAAAUCCCUGAGGAGAGGAAGAAGGUGAGUGACAGCUACUGAGGGUGAUUUGUUCUUGAGUUGAUCAUCACAGGCAUCUACAGCGGCCCAGAGACUAACACGGUGUUGAAACCUGUGUGCAGCUGAGCAGAAUGAAAGCAGUGGAAAGACAUUGUGACCUUCUACAAUUCCUUCAUUUUAUGAUGGAGGUGAUUUUAAAAGGAUCUACAUUUCACAGGACUGAUAAUUACCCCACUAAACUUGCCACUAUCUUGUAUUUAGCUUAAAAGUAUGAAGCUUUGGGGAGAUUCGCUGAGAGUCAGUUCACUCUUUGGCCUUACUCUGGAUUUGAGCUCUAAGCCAUGUCCCUUAAAAUUAUACCUGCAGUUGAAUCAUGAUAGCAAAGAAAAAAAAAAAUGCGGGGGUAUUGAAUUUAAGCUGGAAAACGAGAUUCCAGCAUGGAUGUAUGUGUAGAUGUGGCACUAAGCAACAAGAUAUUUCUGGGCAAGGGCACUGCAAAAGAUUGGAGCAAAAUGCCAUGAACCUCUGCAUCCCAAAGAUAAGAGCUGAAAAAGUGUAAAAAUACAGAGGGUGUUCUUCCCUCCCUCAGGCUUCUUUUUUCAA